GAUGAACGCUGGCGGCGUGCCUAAUACAUGCAAGUCGAGCGAACAGACGAGAGUGCUUGCACUCUCUGACGUUAGCGGCGGACGGGUGAGUAACACGUGGGUAACCUACCUAUAAGACUGGGAUAACUUCGGGAAACCGGAGCUAAUACCGGAUAAUAUUUAGCUUCGCAUGACGCAAUAGUGAAAGACGGUUCUGCUGUCACUUAUAGAUGGACCCGCGGUGUAUUAGCUAGUUGGUGAGGUAACGGCUCACCAAGGCAACGAUACAUAGCCGACCUGAGAGGGUGAUCGGCCACACUGGGACUGAGACACGGCCCAGACUCCUACGGGAGGCAGCAGUAGGGAAUCUUCCGCAAUGGACGAAAGUCUGACGGAGCAAUGCCGCGUGAGUGAAGAAGGUUUUCGGAUCGUAAAACUCUGUUGUAAGGGAAGAACAAGUACGUUAGUAACUGAACGUACCUUGACGGUACCUUACCAGGAAGCCACGGCUAACUACGUG
rnacentral:rRNA from 1 species